CUGCCCUGUGCCAGAUGGGCAGAGCCCAAGCCCUCCUGGGUGCCUUGAAUCUGAAACCCACUCAUGACGACCCUGCAACAAGGGACGUCUUCAUGCACAGAGGGUCAGACCUGGCUGCCCUGGUGUGCAGUGGGCCUGGGGCUCUGGGCGCCCUUACAUGCCUCCCCAGAUGCUGCAGAGAACUUGGGGCUGGGGCUGCACUGGAAACUCUCCCUGCCCUGCUGGUGGACCCGGUUAAACUGCCUGUGCAAAGCUGGGCACUGGACCUUCCCUCACCCCCACAGGGCAGCUGUGCCUUGCCCACCUGGGUGCUCUCAGGAUUCCCCAGGACCACCUCCACCCCAGGUACAUGCAGGAAGUGGGCUGAGGGGGCUCUGAGUGCAGUCCAGCCCAGCUGCUUGACCUUGGGCCAAGCUGCCCUCCCCUGGACCUGGGCUGCCGGCUUGAGGUUGUUGAGAUUGUUGAGGGUGGGGCUGCUGGUGCUCAGGAGCAUGACCUUGGUGGUCAAGGCAGCAGAGCACCCCGGAUUCAAGUCCCAGACCUGGCACUCUCACUGUGAGCAUCAAGUGACCAGGUUCACCUGCUG
rnacentral:lncRNA from 1 species